ACAGAGGGCGCAAGCGUUGUUCGGAUUUAUUGGGCGUAAAGGGCGCGUAGGCGGGCGAGUCAGUCCGAUGUAAAAUCUUCACAGCUCAACUGGAAGGAGCCAUCGGAUACUACUCGUCUUGAGGCCAUUAGAGGUGGACGGAAUUCCUGGUGUAGCGGUGGAAUGCGUAGAUAUCAGGAAGAACACCGAUUGCGAAGGCGGUUCACUGGGAUGGCCCUGACGCUGAGGCGCGAAAGCCAGGGGAGCAAACGG
rnacentral:rRNA from 1 species